GGGGACUUUCGGCACUCCAGGGCUGUCCCCAACGACGCCUGACUCCGACGCACCACUGCACCAGGGCUUGAUAAUGAGGACCCUCGGCGGGGAUGGAGUGUGAACGUUAUAGUCCAGAGUAAGAUGCCUGUGCGAUUGUUUUCUGGCCGAAGGAGUUACAGUGCAGAUGAAUUCUCUAGAGCUAAAGUAACAGGCGCCGCAGGGUCAGCCCAGGCGGGAGGCCUUCGUGGCACUGGAAGCCUCGGAGAGCCCCCUACAGGCGGGAGGACCCGUAAGAAAAAUACUUCCGCUCAUAUGGGCGGAGCUAGGGAGCCCAGGCGGAAGUGACUGUAAUCAGGUUUGAGUUUGGGACCGCGGAUUGCUCAGUAGGUUUAGCGGUUGAGGGACCCCUCUUUGUGUCCCUCUUGCCAGAAAUAAGAAGGUUUUCUUGGACUUCUAGCUGUCUUCCCUAGCAGCAAUAGCUGACUGGGGCCUACACUGGGGCAAAGAGGAAACCCAACUCUGCUGGCCCAUUGUGUCACUGGUGUGGGACAGGAGCUGAGCCAUGAAGGACAAUGGAGUACAUACCCUAAGGUUUAGGCAUGUCCUGCUGAUUUCGGCAGACCCAAGAUGGGUUCUCCCAGAUAGUCGUGGCUCGCCUCCGCCUGCUGGACCAACAAUAGGAAACCGAGGACAACUGGCUGGAUCUACCCAUCAGGACCAGGAUGGGGUAGAGGCAUAUCCAACCCAGACCAAGAAGGCCAGGAAGUCACCAGAGUACCCCAGGAGGACAUGCCUUGGUACGAGAUCCCACUUACCUUACACAGUGACAAUGGCCCAGCUUUUAUCUCUGAAGUUCUACGAGAGUUAACUUCAGCCUUCAACAUCUCCUGGAAACUCCAAACAGCCUACCGGCCUCAGAGCUCAGGGAAAGUAGAGCAUAUGAACCGUACCCUCAAGGAAGCCCUAUCCAAAUUGCAUGCUGAGACUUCCUUAGGGUGGACAGAUCUACUUCCCUUAGAAGUACUCUGCUCCUGCUGUACCCCUCAGAAAAAUGGAUUCUCCCCAUUUGAAAUACUCUAUGGCAGGCCACCCCCACUGUUGUCUUCUUUUCUGGGCAACCUUAACAUCUUAGGAGACACACACCUCCAGGACCAACUAUUAUCCCUAGGAAAAAUCCUCGCAGAAUUACAUGCCACAUAUUAGAGGGCCCCGAUAUCUCUAGGAACCCCUGCCCAUUCUUUCCACCCUGGAGAUGAGGUCUGGGUAAAAGAUUGGAAACAUGAACCCCUUCUCCCAAUUUGGACUGGCCCACAGAUCGUAAUUCUCAUAACUUCUAUUGCCCUCAAGGUUAGCAGUAUCAUGCCAUGGAUCCACCAUUCGUGAGUUAAAAAGGAAAACCCCAGCCAAGCUACCUGCCCCCCACAUCUGUCACCAUCAAACCCUCUGAAGAUCACUCUGAAAAAGGGCCCCUAAGAUCUGAAAUACAUCCUCUCCUAUCUCAAUCCAUCUGGAGCUUCAUGUUAUGGCUACUAAGUUUCUUCUGCCUCUUCCUACUCUCACUAACCCAACAGCAUAUGACUGAAAGUUAACCCAGACUUUGGGAGGCCAGGACAAAGUCCUCUGUAACCAGAUCACUGAUGACUGUCCCACCUUCCAGAUAUCCCUACGUCAACUCCUGGCACCAUACAAGGAGCAAGUGCUUGAAGGGAGGCUAUGUAAAGAGCAGGGACACCAGGUGAAAUUUUGCCCAGACCAGGGGUUAGAAGAAUACAGAGAAACCUUUUGUGACCAAUGGGGUUGUGAGACCAUGGCCCCAUGGGUGACAUCAGGCAAUCUUCAGGUCUCCCCAGUUUACAUGUCCCAGGCCAACCAAACACUCACAAUUACCCCCAAAGAACUGCGGAGGAUCCUACUGGGACCAGCCUCGAUGCUGGGGACUGCGUUUGUAUGUUUCUGGGAGAGACCCUGGAAUGAUAUUCACUCUUUGCUGGGACAGAACCACUCCACAGUCCAGUUCUCUUCUAUAAACCCCACUCCCCCAGGGCCAACCAUUCAAAACUAUAUUUGUCAACUCUUAAACACCUCCUACCACUUAUGGCUCAACUCGACCCAUUCCCCUACUGGUUCCACCUCUGGGUCUGUCUCCCCUUGACUUGAUCGGCUUUCUUCAGUAUCCUCGUUCCUCCUAACUGGCCGUUGCCCAAUAAUACAAGCCCUUUGAGUUUGGGCCCUAUACAAAACUCAGUCCUGCUGUUCCCAGCUAACAGUCUAACCUGCUUUUUUCCCCCGGUUGCACCAAGACCCCCGACUCAGGCUGCCAGAACUUCACAACUCCUCUACCUUACUGCUCCCCUUUGGUAUUUUCCUCUCCUGGAAAACAACCUUCUCUUUAGGUGCCACAACAAAAGUAACGCCCCUUCUGGUUACAUACUUAUGUUUUUGUCCCCCUCUGCCUCACUAUACUCAGACUUCCAGUUCCAGUCCCGAGUAUCUCUUCACCACUGAGGCCGAUGGGCAGUAGUCUUACCAUUCCUCCUGGGGGCCAGAAUCUUCACCGGUAUAGCUAUUGGCGCAUCGCAUCUCAGGACUUCCCUUAACUUUUACUUCAGGCUUUCACAGGAACUCAACAAUGACAUGGAACGUAUUGCAGAUUUAUUAGCAUCCCUUCAGACACAACUCUCCAGUCUGGCAGCAGUAGCCUUCCAGAAUCGGUGAGACCUAGAUCAUCUCCUCAUUACUGAAAAGGGAGGAACCUGUCUCUUCCUACAGGAAGAAUGCUGCUACUAUAUCAAUCAGUCUGGAUCGUCAUUUCCAAGGUUCUUGAGCUCCAGGAACACAUCCAGCAUCGUCAAGAAGAAAUCACAUCUUGGGGUUUCAACCCACAAUCAUGCUCAUCCUGGCUAUUACCCCUAGCAGGCCGUUUAUUGUCCUUACUCCUCCUAGUUACCUUUGGUCCUUGUCUCCUCAACAGCCUUGUCUGUUUCAUCAGAAAUUACCAUCUCUCAACACAGGACUGCCCAUAUCCUUGCCUUCCAAGGAUACAGUCCCUUAAAUCUAGAUAAUGAUGAUCUCUAGGAUACCUCUGCCAAUCAUCAAGAUGGGGGAUAUGAGGCGGAUAGAGACCCCCGGGCCUCAGCCCCUUACCGUCCACUGCUCUCCAUUGCUCCUGCUGAGACAGAAAAAGACCAAAUGGCUGUACUGCUUGGUUAAGAAAAGAAAACAAGUUUCCUGAGAUGCUUCCAUAUAGAUUAUACUUCCACAUAAAGGGGGCCAGUUGGCCCUGAGAGACCAUGAAAAACAUCCUGUUCCCAUCCCCCAUCAAUGGUAACCAUAGAAACUCACUCCUAACCCUGUUGGGUGCUCAGUCUUUGGGGAACAAUCUCACUGAGCCCACCGGUGAAAAUAAGGCUGUGUUCUUCCAGAUUUCCAUGUGCCACUUGAGUUUCCUUGGUAGCUUCAGAUUUUCCCCAGCAGUAUCACUGGUAAGUGGGUACCUUCUGGCACUAAUAACUGAGCUCUCUUAGAGUUGCAAUAUUGAGUCUACCAUAACUUAUAUUAAGUCAUAUUACAGGUCUAUUAGGAAAAGAUCUGUUCUUGGUUCUAGAAUUAACUAAGAGUUUAAGGUGGCAUUGAUCCAGUCUCUGAGGUUUACAUUUGUAGAUUCAAGGAAAAUUUUCUAAAAGUACAGAUAAAUCAAGCAGAUUUUAUUUAUGCAUGGUUAGUCAUAUUCAGAAAAAAAUCUGUUACUCAGUAACAAUGGAAGAUAACUUUGUAUAAAGUUCCAACUCAUUAAUUUCACUACAAGAGUCAUAAUUGAGAUACAUUAAAAUAACUUUUUUUAGUUGACCUGAAUUUUUUCCUUAAUUAUGGUAUGUAAUCUUUGUGUUCUAAAGUAUCUGUAAUUACAACUUAAUAAGCAACCAUAAAAAUAUUUGCUCUUGAAAUAAAUAGGUCUUAUUCAAACAAAAGAGUAAGGAACUUAAAUAAUGUAAAGUAGUACAUUUAACACUCACACCUAAAAAACUCUGUAAUUUUAAUCUGGGAACUUGUGGAAAGUAAAAUUUAUUAGGUCAUGAGGAUGGCAGUGACUUUAGGUAAUGUUGUGGAGUAUAUGAAGUUGUGGCUGGGCUUAGUGCAAUCUGUGGGGAUAUUGCAGGAUAGAGGGGAGGGUGGUUCUAACCUCAAGAAAGGGACUCAAUUUAGAAAUGGAGUAAUAAAAUAUCAUCAUUUAGAAGCAAGGUUGGAAGGAUUAACAUGCAAUUGAUUAAAUCAGCCUUUUGAAAAUAGAAUUAACUCACUCUAACAUCUGAUUUGUAGUUAUAAUAUGAAGGUGAACAAAAGUCUCCUAAAGCCAAUCCAUAUUCCUGAGGGAAUUCUUUUUCAGGUAAUAAUAGCUUCUAUUUAUUGAUCACUAUAUAUUCAGUAGUGUGCUAAGAGCUUUACAUCCAUGAUCACAUUUAGAAUCCUGCCAAUCUUUAGGAAAGAUAUUGUUAGCUUUCUCUAUUGAUGAGAAAUCAAGGUUUAGAAUUAUAAUUACCUUGUGCAGGGCUAUGAAAUGUAACAUAUGGUGACUCAAGUCCAAUCCCAGCUCUAUUACAUGUUAACUAUGUGACCUUAGGCAAAUUACUUGAUCUAUAUUUUGUUUCUUCACAGAGGAAAU